rnacentral:rRNA from 1 species
AGUGAACGCUGGCGGUAGGCCUAACACAUGCAAGUCGAACGGCAGCACAGUAAGAGCUUGCUCUUACGGGUGGCGAGUGGCGGACGGGUGAGGAAUACAUCGGAAUCUACUUUUUCGUGGGGGAUAACGUAGGGAAACUUACGCUAAUACCGCAUACGACCUACGGGUGAAAGCAGGGGUUCUUCGGACCUUGCGCGAUUGAAUGAGCCGAUGUCGGAUUAGCUAGUUGGCGGGGUAAAGGCCCACCAAGGCGACGAUCCGUAGCUGGUCUGGGAGGAUGAUCAGCCACACUGGAACUGAGACACGGUCCAGACUCCUACGGGAGGCAGCAGUGGGGAAUAUUGGACAAUGGGCGCAAGCCUGAUCCAGCCAUACCGCGUGGGUGAAGAAGGCCUUCGGGUUGUAAAGCCCUUUUGUUGGGAAAGAAAAGCAGCAGGUUAAUACCCCGCUGUUCUGACGGUACCCAAAGAAUAAGCACCGGCUAACUUCGUG